CGACGUAUACGGGGGAUAACACUUAGAAAUAGGUGCUAAUACCGCAUAAGCGCACAGCUUCGCAUGAAGCGGUGUGAAAAACUCUGGUGGUAUACGAUGGUUCCGCGUCUGAUUAGCUAGUUGGUGGGGUAAUGGCCUACCAAGGCAACGAUCAGUAGCCGGCCUGAGAGGGUGAACGGCCACAUUGGGACUGAGACACGGCCCAAACUCCUACGGAAGGCAGCAG
rnacentral:rRNA from 1 species